ACUCAAAUGAAUUGACGGGGGCCCGCACAAGCGGUGGAGCAUGUGGUUCAAUUCGACGCAACGCGAAGAACCUUACCUGGGCUCGAACGGCUUUGGAUCGACGGUGGAAACACUGUUUUCCCGCAAGGGACCGGAGUCGAGGUGCUGCAUGGCUGUCGUCAGCUCGUGUCGUGAGAUGUUGGGUUAAGUCCCGCAACGAGCGCAACCCUUGUCCUGUGUUGCCACUCCGCAAGGAAGCACUCUCAGGAGACCGCCAGCGAUAAGUUGGAGGAAGGUGGGGAUGAUGUCAAGUCAUCAUGGCCUUUAUGUCCAGGGCUACACACGUGCUACAAUGGGCGGUACAAAGCGCUGCAAACCCGCGAGGGGGAGCUAAUCGCAAAAAACCGUCCUCAGUUCGGAUUGCAGGCUGCAACUCGCCUGCAUGAAGCUGGAAUCGCUAGUAAUGCCGUAUCAGAAUGAUGGCGUGAAUACGUUCCCGGGCCUUGCACACACCGCCCGU
rnacentral:rRNA from 1 species